AAGUCGUAACAAGGUUUCCGUAGGUGAACCUGCGGAAGGAUCAUUACAGAGUUCAUGCCCUCACGGGUAGACCUCCCACCCUUGAAUAUACUACCUUCGUUGCUUUGGCGAGCCGCUUCGGCUACCGACCUUGGUUGGUACGCGCUCGCCGGAGAACACCAAACUCUGAAUUAAUUUGUCGUCUGAGUACUAUAUAAUAGUUAAAACUUUCAACAACGGAUCUCUUGGUUCUGGCAUCGAUGAAGAACGCAGCGAAAUGCGAUAAGUAAUGUGAAUUGCAGAAUUCAGUGAAUCAUCGAAUCUUUGAACGCACAUUGCGCCCCCUGGUAUUCCGGGGGGCAUGCCUGUUCGAGCGUCAUUUAAACCCUCAAGCUCAGCUUGGUGUUGGGGCCUGCCCACCGGCAGCCCUUAAAAUCAGUGGCGGUGCCAUCUGGCUCUAAGCGUAGUAAUUUCUCUCGCUAUAGGGUCCCGGUGGAGACUUGCCAAAACCCCCAAUUUUUCUAUGNNUGACCUCGGAUCAGGUAGGGAUACCCGCUGANCUUANGNAUAUNAANNANGCGGANGAAAAAGAAACCACAGNGANNCCUCAGUNACGGCGAGUGAGCGGUAACAGCUCAAAUUUGAAAUCUGGCCCUUUCAGGNUCNGAGUUGUAAUUUGUAGAAGAUGCUUCGGGUGUAGCUCCGGUCUAAGUUCCUUGGAGCAGGACGUCAUAGAGGGUGAGAAUCCCGUAUGUGACUGGUUGCUUUCGCCCAUGUGAAGCUCUUUCGACGAGUCGAGUUGUUUGGGAAUGCAGCUCUAAAUGGGUGGUAAAUUUCAUCUAAAGCUAAAUAUUGGCCAGAGACCGAUAGCGCACAAGUAGAGUGAUCGAAAGAUGAAAAGCACUUUGGAAAGAGAGUUAAACAGUACGUGAAAUUGUUGAAAGGGAAGCGCUUGCAACCAGACUUGCACGCAGUUGAUCAUCCGGUGUUCUCACUGGUGCACUCUGCUGCGUUCAGGCCAGCAUCGGUUUUGGUGGUUGGAUAAAGGCCUUGGGAAUGUAGCUUCUUUCGGGGAGUGUUAUAGCCCUCGGUGCAAUGCAGCCUACCGGGACCGAGGACCGCGCUUCGGCUAGGAUGCUGGCGUAAUGGUUGUAAGCGACCCGUCUUGAAACACGGACC
rnacentral:rRNA from 1 species